rnacentral:rRNA from 1 species
UACAGAGGGGGCAAGCGUUGUUCGGAAUUACUGGGCGUAAAGGGCGCGUAGGCGGCCCUUCUAAGUCGAACGUGAAAUCCCCGGGCUCAACCCGGGAACUGCGUCCGAUACCUGGAAGGCUUGAAUCCGGGAGAGGGAUGCGGAAUUCCAGGUGUAGCGGUGAAAUGCGUAGAUAUCUGGAGGAACACCGGGUGGCGAAGGCGGCAUCCUGGAC